GGGGUUAUAGCUCAAAGGUAGAGUGCGUGCUUAGCAUGCACAAGGUCCUGGGUUCAAUCCCCAGUGCCCUCC
rnacentral:tRNA from 1 species